GGGAGGGGAGAGGCCGAGGGGAGAGGCCGAGGGGAAGAGUCGAGCGCCGGCCCCCUCCCUUUCCCUCACAAUUGGCAGUAACGAGGGGAAUGAGGGGACGAGGUACAUAUAGCGAGACAGGGCAGGAGACAGGCCAGUUGUGAGUGAGGAGGAGGUAGCAAAGGGCUCCUCCUGCUGCCGUGCGCGGAGGAGGAGGAGGAGGAGGAGAUCUGGAGAACGAGGGCACCGCAAGAAGUUAACAAGGAAGAGAAGAUAAGGAGGAAGAGGAAGAGGAAAAGGAAGAAGAGGAGUACAAGAAGAUCCGGAAAACGAGAACAUAGCAAGAAGUUGACACGUACAAAGAGAGGAAGAGAUUAAGAAAGGACAACUGAAGAGGAAGAGGAAGAGGAGGAGCACAAGACCAACAAAACGAGAACAAAACAAGGAAAAGUUGAGAAGAUUUGAAGAAGAUAAAAGAAAAUAAGGACACUGGAAAAGAAGAGAAAAGAAGAAGAGGAGAAAGAAGAGGAAGAAGAGUUUUAAAAUAUCAAGAAGACUUUUAAACGAAGGCAACGCAAGAGAGAAAAAGUUAAGAAGAAUAAUCAAGAGAGAUGGAAAGAGACAAAACGUGCAACCAAGUAGAAGAGGAAGAGAGAGAAGAGACGAAGGAGGAGGAGGAAGAAGAAGAGGAGGUAAAAGUUUGCUCGUUGAGGUUACUGAAGAGCCGUGAGAAGCGAAAAUAGUUGUGGAAGGAAAACGGAGAAGGAGAAUAACGAAUGAAGGACGCAGAGAUAAAACAAGAAACGAAGAAGAAAAAAGAAGAUGAAGGGAAGAAAGAGAACUGACAUACCCAAGAAAAAGAAUGGAAAUGAAGACAAAGAAGAAAGAAGAAUGAGAAGCGGACAAAACAAAGAAGAAUGGGAAUGAAGUUAAAUGAAAUGAAACAAAAGACGAACGAAGAGAAGAGACAAGGAUGAAGAAGAGAUGGAAGAGAAUAACGUAAUAAUAUGAGGAAAGCCUGAAAGGAGAAGAAGAAGAAGAAAGAGAAAAAGAAAGAAGAAGAAGAAGAAGAAGACGAUGAUUGAAAACAGUUCCUAUCGAAAACUUUUUAACAAGGAAAUUCGAGAAGGAGGAAAGAAGAAGAAGAAGAAGAAGAAGAAGAAGAAGAAGAGGAGACUUUGUAAAAUGUUUGAAGAUGUAAGAGGAGAAGAGGUGAGAAGAACCAGAUCCUCCUCCUCCUCCUUCCUCCUCCUCUCCAUCCUCCUCCUCCUCCACAUCAUAACCAAGGAGACCAUUACUUCCAUACCCUCCUCCUCCUACUCCUCCUCCUCCUCCACCACCUCCUCCUCCUCCUCCUCCUCUUCCUCCUCCACCACCACCAGCACCACUUCCGGAAAACAAAGCGGUGAGAAGAAGAAAAAAAAGUUGAGAAAAAGGGAAGAAAAAAAGAAGAAAGACAUAAAAGUUGGAGAAGAAGCAAAGAGAAAGACGACCCAAGAAGAAAGAAGAAGAAGAAGAAGAAGAAGAAGAAGAAGAAGAAGAAGAGGAAGAAGAGAGGGGAAAGCGAAGAGAGAAAAAAGAAAGGAAUGACAACAACGCGAUUUAACUCAGAAGCAGCAGAGGAAGAAGACGAAGCAGUACGAGAAGGACGGGACAACACUUCUUGGUCAACUCACCUGCUGAAGAAAAGAGAUCAAAGCUAAUCUUGACAAUGAAAAGAAAAACACGUAUAAGAAAAAAAAUCAAAGUAUAAAACGAUGACAAUAUUAAAGUCUCAUAAACCCACGACUCCUUUGCACAACAACAGUAUAUAGUUUUGUAAGUAAACAAUAAAUAAACACGUAUAUAUUUAUGUAUUACGAACUCUAUGGAAAAUGUACAUGGAAGAGAAGUAAAGCCACGAUAAUACCAAAAUUUACCCCAUAAACACACGACUAUUUUGCAUAACAACAGAAUAUAGUUUUGUAAGUAGUGAAAAUAUAAACACGUAUAUAUUUAUGCAUCAUCAACUCAUUAAUAACAUACGAGAAAAAAAAUGUAUGUAUGCAAUCUUUCAAUCACCAAGAGAGGCUCAUUAAACACACCCACAUUAUGUAUCAGAUCAAGUAUACAUCGCCUUUCCAUGCCUAAGAAAGAUGUAUAUUUAUGUAUUGCCAAGUCUUUUACUCCUUGACGCUACAAGUUAGCUUUUCUUCGUAAUGGCAGCAGGCUACGUGCAUUUUUUGUUUACCAUCUGGUGCAUAAAUUUUCGUGUAUUCCUUUAUUACGAAAAUGUUCAAGACCUACAUUUAUGUGCAGCUUUUCUGGGCUUUCUUUGAAAGGGCAGCAUAUUCUUUUUUUUUUCUCUUCUUUAAGCACUGGUCUGCCUUCCUUCAAUUUAAAUUUAUUUCUCAUUUGCCAAAGCUUUUUAUUUGAUUAUGUUUAGCCCUUGGUCUGCCUCCUUUCAAUUUAACUUCAUUUUUCACUUGGAAAAGCAUACAUAUAGAUAAAUAACUUGGUAUGGAUAACACAUGAAAGGAUAUAUAUUUUUACGAACAAUUAUUUUUACUGUUGUCAACCUUUUACCGUGAGAAAAAAUUAAGUGAGCUGUGUGUGUGUGUGUGUCUGUCUGUGUGUGUGUGUGUGUGUGUGUGUGUGUAUGUGUGCGCGCGCGCAUGGUUCAGAUGUUCUAAGUUGCCUCGUUCACGUGCUCGAGGCCGUGAGUCGAGGUGUGUUGUUUGUGUUGCUUUGUUUUGCUUGUCUUGUGAGGGUUAAGAAGCCCCGUGGCAGCUUAAGGCUUGGAGUUAUCUCGUGUUGCCCGUCUGUCUGUCUGUCUAUCUGUCUGUCUGUUUACCUGCGACUUAUUUCUCUACCGCAAGCUUGAUUCACUUCCUCGUUUCUCUGUCUUGUUUUUUUCUAUCUUGUUUUUUGUCCUUUUCCGUUUCCUGCCUUGCUUUUCCGUCUCUCGUCUCUCUCGUCUCUCGUCUCUCUCUCUCUCUCUCUCUCUCUCUCAUCGGUGUACCUUUCCCGUGUAAUUGGCGGCCGCUGUGCCUUCAAAGUAUCAAUGGUGCUCUUAUCGCUUAAGUUACGUGUCGCUCUUGAUUUGUCCCUGAGCCUCUGUCUGUCUGUCUGUCUGUCUGUCUGUUGGGUUGGAAGGGAGCAUGACAAUCUACUCCCUUACACCCUGGUCUUUGUUUUUGUUACCUUCCAUUUAUUAUUAUUUUUGUAUCAGUAUUUGCACCCUAUUCUUUGUUUCCGUUACUUCCCAUUAUUUUUGGUUUCCGUAAAUUUCCCUCCGUCUUUCGUUUUGAUUUUAACAGCACAUACUUUGUUUCCGUUACAUUCCAUUUAUUUUUUCGUUUCGUUUCCAUUUUAAAACACUAUUAUUUGUCUCCAUUUUGCUUGUUUUUUUACACCUUUUAAUCUUCCCUUUAUUUUUCGUCAAUUUUUAUCAGUCUAUCAUUUUCUUCUGUUACCUUUUCAUUAUUUUAUUGGUUUCAGUUUUAACACAGUAUAUAACGUUUCCAUUGGACUUCCUUUUAUUUAACACCAACUCACCCUCCCUUUUGUCCCCCUCCUCAAUAUUUCCUCUUCUUUCUCUCUUAUAAUUUUCUUCUCUGUAUUACUAUCCUUCAUACUUAUCACCUCUCUAUAAUGUAUCUUCUGCCCCCUUCUUUUUUUAUUUUACUCCUUUUCCAUUGUUAUCUUUUCCCUUCCUCGUUAUCCGUCUUCUAGUGUCAUUUUUUUAAUUUUCUUUCUCUUUUCGUUAUUUUCCUCCUUAACUUUUUUUUUUUUUAUCUCCAGAGGUUUAGGGAUGUCAUGUCCUGGUUUAAUUGCUUUUACGUUCGCUCGCUUGUGACUGGUUACCGUGCAUGUCUCCGUCACUCUCCUCGUUGUAUGUGCUUUUCGUUUUUCCUUUGUUUUGCGUAGUCUGCUUUGCUUAUUCAUCGAGUUUCGUUGCGAUUUAGUUGUAAUAUAAUUUUGCUCUUCUUUUUAUUUGGUUGACUUCUCAUUUGGUGAUUUUUAUUCAUUUUUUUUGAUAACUCAGUAUAGUCAAUAUAUUUCUUUUGAGGAGUUAUGAUCUAUUAUUACUACAAUUGUGCAUUUAUUAUUUCCAAUCAUCUAUUAUAUCGAAGUUAUUAUGUAAAAGUCGACUGUGUGCAUGAAAGAUGUAUAUUUUCUUUUAGUCUUAUUAUUAUUAUUAUUAUUAUUAUUAUUAUUAUUAUUAUUAUUAUUAUUAUUAUUUGCCUACAUACACACGACAUAAACAACAACAAAAACAAACAGGGACCAAAUCUUUUUAAACUUCUAACGUAAAGCCAAAAAUAAAUAUACAAACAAACAAAUAUAUAAAAGUCUUAAUUUCUACACGACACAAAAGACAAACAAACAAAUUAAUCCAACAAAUACAAAUACCCUAAAUUAACUAACAUAAUAAUCCUAAAUAAUUAGACGAAAACAACAGGAACGCGACAGAAGCUUCCUAAUCCAGUCUUCCAUUAAGUUUAGUUGCUUACUUAAAACACUACGCGACAGACUGCUUAGCUUCUUUUGCUUUGAAUUGGCUCGUUUAUUUGCACGCUCCGCCGCUAUAGCUUUUUGCUCGCUUGUUUGGCCUCAAUUCGUACCUGUUUUAGCUUUGUAGUGUAUCGCUUUGGGUGUUUGCUAGCUUGCUUGGCACUUGCUUGUACCUGUUUUAGCUUCGUAGUGCCUUGUCUCUUUUUGCUUGCUCUCUUUGCACUGGCUUGUAUCUGUUUUAGCUUUGUAUUGUGUAUCCUGUUAUCCUUUUGCUUGCUUGUUGUCCUUUGUUUGUACCUGUUUUAGCUUCGUGGUGUCCUGUAUCCUUGUUCGCUUGGUGGCUUUUGUUUGUACCUGUUUUAGCUUCGUGGUGUCCUGUAUCCUUGUUCGCUUGGUGGCUUUUGUUUGUACCUGUUUUAGCCUCGUAGCGUAUCGUGUUAGCCUUUCCCUUGUUUUGCUGACACUUGUUUGUACCUGUUUUAGCUUCGUAGUGUUGUGUAACCUCUUAGCCUUCUUUGCCUCUCUUCCUGGUACGUCCUACGCCUGAAUCACUGACAUAUCUUAGUUGUUAGUUGUAGAAGUAGAAGCAUUUGUAAUCCAGAGUAAUGCUAAUGUUGCUUUUUACUUUGUUCUCGCUACGUACAGUUGCGUAUAAAUGCGUAAGAAGAAAAAGUGCACGAGAUUUAGUUUUUCUUUUCUGUUACUUUUUUCGUUUCCGUUAUUAUUAUUUUUUUUAGGUAUUCGGGGCCGUAAUUUCUGGAGGGUCUAGGAGGGCUAUAGCACCCCAAAUGUUUUCUAUAUCGGCCUUAAAAUGCCAAUAAAGUCCUUAUUUAAAAAAAAAAAAAAAAUCCCCCCCUUCACAAGCUCGGAUGCCCUCUAGACUCCACCCAAAAUCUGUCGAAAUCACGGGCCUCGGUAUCAUUUCGAUCAUGAUUAAAAAGAUGUUUGUGCUCUUAGUGGCUUUUAAUUCAUGCACUUUCGCUUUCUUCGUGUUUGUGUCGGUAUACUUCUGACCAUGAGAAAAAAAAAUGUAUCCGUGUUUUUAUUUUUUGUCUUUUCUUUCUCGUAGUAUUUUCUUUAAGCAUAUCGAAAAUGACAAAAAAAAAAUGUCCUUCCGCUUUUAAGUUUCUUUUAUCAGUUUUCAUAUUUUUAUUUUCUUGGUGCGUGUUUGUGUUUUCUAAAUUUUGUUCCUCUUUAAUUCUUUUCAUUAGUAUAUAUAUAUUUUAGGCACCGGCUCGCUAGUGCCUCUGCUGCCCAGUGUGCUAAAUAAACCGCUUCGUCUCUAUAGUUUUAACCAUUAAGAGUUUUAUCAAAGACUUGCCUCGUUUUAAAACCAUGUAAACUUUUUUCUACACGCUGAGUAGAAAGAAGGGAAGAGAACGUGGCUUUUCGUCUAUAAUUUUAAGUUUAGUAUUUUAUCAGAGAUUGGGAGAGUGUCGAGGCUUUUUCAUUACAUAGGACAGCACUUUACGUAUCGGUCAUUCACUCUAGAGCUAGAGAUUGAAUUACAGAUAAGGGGACCGAUCAGUAAAGUGGCGCCAUCUAUGUUUAAGCUUUGAAAGUAUCCCAUUCUCUCCUAUUUGCAAUCGUGUUUAACUCCUGAUUUACAAGUUAUAAAUAAGUUUUGACCAAUGUCUUACUUUAGGUGUUAAGUAGCUUAGCAUUUGACCAACUACAUUGUUCUAAAUGCAAGUUAUUAUUGUCCUUUAAUGUUUAAUCAUAAUAUUGUUUUUAUUUACGUUCAUAGUGAUAUAUAUAAUACUCAGUUUACUUUUUACUCAGUUUACUUUCAGUUAUGUUGAUUUUGUUUUUAUUCUAAUGUUUAUUUGGCAUUUACUUUUACAGAUAGUUACGAUUUUACACACACACACACACACACACACACACACACACACACACACACACACACACACACACACACACGUUAAUACAUAUACACAGCUUUAUUUUGUUACGAUCUGUUAAGUUGCUUUUAUUUCAGAGCUACUUUAAGUUUUUAUUACUAUUCUUUGCAAUAAUUCUGUUUUUCGUUGAAUAUUUUGUUCGAUUUUAUUUUGCCUAUGAUUUCGCUUGGUUUCUUUUCUGUUACUUUACUUUCAUUUCGUAGCAUUUGUUCUGAGAAAACAGUCCACAUAUGGAAAAAUACAAAAAAAAAAAAUAUGGAGGUAAAGAAAAUACCUGCAACGUCUACUUAUCAUUUUUAUCUAUUCAUUUCAACCUCUUAUCUCCUAUCGCUUAGUUUUUGUGGCUUAUUUAUCAACGAACUUUUUGUUAAUCUACUGAUCUUUCUAUUUCUUGACACCGAGUAAUUUAUCUUUCAUUUGAUUCUUUCUAUUCUCUCUUUGUCCUCUCCUGUUUUUCUGAGCCUAAAUUUAUGUUGUUUUCACAUUUUGAUCUUUAUUAAUCUGUAUUUAUCAAUCACCAGUUAUCAUUAUUUUCUCCUAAGGCUUUCAUAAGUUUGUCUGUUUCUCUGUUUGCCACCUUUUCUGUGCUUUUGUUGUCUUUCUGAGCCUAAACUAUUUUCUAUCGGCUACCUAGAUGUUCAUUUAUGUUUAGAAUUAAUUAUGUUCCUCUUACAUAUCAUUCCUCUCUAUCAUUUGUUAUGUUAUUUACCUAUUUUUUUACAAGUCAUUUUUACUGUCAUUUCAUAUCAUAUUUUUUGCCAAUAUAAAUACUAACCACUCUGCCCUUCAUGAAUCUUUUCCAUAAUUUCUCUUAAGUUAUCAUGUAUCUCGUUAUUACUUUAUUAAUGAAAUUUUCUACGUGUCUUCCACUUUCUGAGCCUAAAGUAAUUUUCUUUUGGCUAAAUAUUUACUAAUGUCUUUCAUUAUUUCCCUUUAAUUUUAUUUUCUCCAUUUUCUGAUAUGUUUGCCUAUUUUUUCUUUAUUUUCUACGUGUCUCUCGCUGCUUUCCUGAGCCUGAACUCAUUUCCUUUUGGCUAUCUAAAUAUUUACUCCUUUAUUUCAUCAUUAUUUUCCCUUUCUUCGUAUCUUUUCUCAAAUUUCUCAUAUAUUUGUUUAUUUCCUUGUUUGUUUAUUUUUCUACGUGUCUUUCGCUGCCUUUCCGAGCCUCAAUCAUCCGUGACUCAUGUAAGCUUCGAUGAGUCGCCGUGAGUGUGUGAGGGCGAGUCACCGCCUUACGCACGCCACGAUGAGGAAAUAAAAUGUCUUCUUGAA